GAUGAACGCUGGCGGCGUGCCUAAUACAUGCAAGUCGAACGAACAGACGCGGAGCUUGCUCCUCUCUCGUUAGCGGCGGACGGGUGAGUAACACGUGGAUAACCUCCCUAUAUGUCUGGUAUAACUUCGGGAAACCGGAUCUUAUACCGGAUAAUCUCUUGAACCGCAUUGUUCAAUAGUGAAAGACGGUUUUGCUGUCUCUUCUCGAUGCAUCCGCGCCGGAUUAGCUGGUUGGUACGGUAACGGCCUAGGAAGGCUACGAUGCGUAGCCGACCUGAGAGACUGAUCGGCGACACGGGAGCUGAGACACGGUCAAUACGACUACGGGACGGAGCAGUAGGGAAUCGUCCGCAACGGGCGAAAGCAUGACGGAGCAACGCCGAGUCAGUGAUGAAGGUCUCGGGAGCGUAAUACUCUGUUAUGAGGGAAGAACAAAUGUGUAAGUAACCAUGGAGGUCUUGACGGUAACGAAUCAGAAAGCAACGGCUAACUACGUG
rnacentral:rRNA from 1 species